AGAGUUUGAUCCUGGCUCAGGAUGAACGCUAGCGGCAGGCUUAACACAUGCAAGUCGAGGGGCAGCGGGGAGGAAGCUUGCUUUCUCCGCCGGCGACCGGCGCACGGGUGAGUAACACGUAUGCAACCUGCCCUGUCAGGGGGACAACCCGCCGAAAGGCGGGCUAAACCCGCGUACAUGCCACCGGGGCAUCCCGGAGGCAGGAAAGGCUUCGGCCGGACAGGGAUGGGCAUGCGGCGCAUUAGGCAGUAGGCGGGGUAACGGCCCACCUAACCGACGAUGCGUAGGGGUUCUGAGAGGAAGGUCCCCCACACUGGUACUGAGACACGGACCAGACUCCUACGGGAGGCAGCAGUGAGGAAUAUUGGUCAAUGGUCGGGAGACUGAACCAGCCAAGCCGCGUGAGGGAGGAAGGUACAGAGUAUCGUAAACCUCUUUUGUCAGGGAACAAAGGCGGGGACGUGUCCCCGGAUGAGUGUACCUGAAGAAAAAGCAUCGGCUAACUCCGUGCCAGCAGCCGCGGUAAUACGGAGGAUGCGAGCGUUAUCCGGAUUUAUUGGGUUUAAAGGGUGCGCAGGCGGUCUGUUAAGUCAGCGGUCAAAGCCCGGGGCUCAACCCCGGCCCGCCGUUGAAACUGGCAGUCUCGAGUUGGAGAGAAGUAUGCGGAAUGCGCGGUGUAGCGGUGAAAUGCAUAGAUAUCGCGCAGAACUCCGAUUGCGAAGGCAGCAUGCCGGCUCCACACUGACGCUGAGGCACGAAAGCGUGGGUAUCGAACAGGAUUAGAUACCCUGGUAGUCCACGCAGUAAACGAUGAAUGCUGGCUGUCCGGGGGGACUGACCCCUGGGUGGCGAAGCGAAAGCGAUAAGCAUUCCACCUGGGGAGUACGCCGGCAACGGUGAAACUCAAAGGAAUUGACGGGGGCCCGCACAAGCGGAGGAACAUGUGGUUUAAUUCGAUGAUACGCGAGGAACCUUACCCGGGCUCAAACGGGGAGUGACUCAGGCAGAGACGCCUGUUUCCCACGGGACACUCCCCGAGGUGCUGCAUGGUUGUCGUCAGCUCGUGCCGUGAGGUGUCGGCUUAAGUGCCAUAACGAGCGCAACCCCCGCGUGCAGUUGCUAACAGAUAACGCUGAGGACUCUGCACGGACUGCCGGCGCAAGCCGCGAGGAAGGCGGGGAUGACGUCAAAUCAGCACGGCCCUUACGUCCGGGGCGACACACGUGUUACAAUGGGUGGUACAGCGGGAAGCCAGGCGGCGACGCCGAGCGGAACCCGAAAUCCACUCUCAGUUCGGAUCGGAGUCUGCAACCCGACUCCGUGAAGCUGGAUUCGCUAGUAAUCGCGCAUCAGCCAUGGCGCGGUGAAUACGUACCCGGGCCUUGCACACACCGCCCGUCAAG
rnacentral:rRNA from 1 species